rnacentral:rRNA from 1 species
UACGUAGGCAGCAAGCGUUGUUCGGAGUUACUGGGCGUAAAGGGUGUGUAGGCGGUUGUUUAAGUUUGGUGUGAAAUCUCCCGGCUCAACUGGGAGGGUGCGCCGAAUACUGAAUGACUCGAGUGCGGGAGAGGAGAGUGGAAUUCCUGGUGUAGCGGUGAAAUGCGUAGAUAUCAGGAGGAACACCGGUGGCGAAGGCGGCUAUCUGGACCGACAUUGACGCUGAGGCGCGAAAGCGUGGGGAGCAAACAGG